AGUUGAGAAAUCGAGUUAUCUUCAUAAUGCCAAUGUAGCUCAAACUGAACAGCUUUUAGUUUUAGGACCUGUAAAUUUGCCCAAUUUGAUAAAUUAUUGCAUACUCGACAAUAUGGUGCUUAAGUGGUGUCCUUCCAAGAAUGAAGAAGUGAAUCCCUUCUACAUUGGUCCAUAUCCUGACAAGUCAUGCGGAUCGUGUCCGUAUGGUGCCUUUUCAGGCUUUGUGCCAUGUGGCUGGCCCGAUCGCUGUAAGGGCAUGGCUGAAAGAAAUCGUUGCUGCGUUCCGAAAGAGGCCGCAUCUACUAAGAGCGUGAAAUAGGUUUUCAAUGGGCAAAUUUAUUCGAAAUUGCCCAAUAUAUACACAAUAAAGCAGAAGACAUUCAGUAGCAA
rnacentral:sRNA from 1 species